AACUAACGCUGGCGGCGUGCCUAACACAUGCAAGUCGUACGAGAAAGCCGGCUUCGGCUGGUGAGUAAAGUGGCGCACGGGUGAGUAACGCGUGGAUAAUCUGCCCUUAAGUGUGGAAUAACGUACCGAAAGGUGCGCUAAUACCGCAUAAUGCCUGGCAACACAAGUUGUCCGGCCAAAGAAGGCCUCUGUUUACAAGCUUUCGCUUCAGGAUGAGUCCGCGUAACAUUAGCUGGUUGGUAAGGUAGCGGCUUACCAAGGCUAUGAUGUUUAGGGGUCCUGAGAGGGUGGUCCCCCACACUGGUACUGAGACACGGACCAGACUCCUACGGGAGGCAGCAGUGAGGAAUAUUGGUCAAUGGGCGCAAGCCUGAACCAGCCAUCCCGCGUGCAGGAAGACGGCCCUAUGGGUUGUAAACUGCUUUUCCAGGGAGAGAAACUUACGCACGUGUUGCGUGACUGACGGUACCCUGGGAAUAAGCAUCGGCUAACUCCGUGCCAGCACG
rnacentral:rRNA from 1 species